rnacentral:rRNA from 1 species
CCGGCGACCGGCGCACGGGUGAGUAACACGUAUGCAACCUGGCCGUGACAGAUGGAUAACCGGGAGAAAUCCCGCCUAAUACAACAUAAUGCCGGGAGGGGGACAUCCCCUGCCGGCCAAAGGGGGCGACCCCGGUCACGGAUGGGCAUGCGGCGCAUUAGGUAGUUGGUGGGGCAACGGCCCACCAAGCCGACGAUGCGUAGGGGUUCUGAGAGGAAGGUCCCCCACAUUGGAACUGAGACACGGUCCAAACUCCUACGGAAGGCAGCAG